GGUAGUCCACGCCGUAAACUAUGGAUGCUAGUUGUUGGCCGUAUCGACCCGGUCAGUAACGAGGCUAACGCGUUAAGCAUCCCGCCUGGGGAGUACGGUCGCAAGAUUAAAACUCAAAGGAAUUGACGGGGACCCGCACAAGCGGUGGAGCGUGUUGUUUAAUUCGAGGCUAAGCGAAGAACCUUACCAGGGUUUGACAUCCUUGGAAUUUCUGUGAAAGCAGAGAGUGCCUUCGGGAACCAAGUGACAGGUGUUGCAUGGCCGUCGUCAGCUCGUGUCGUGAGAUGUUUGGUUAAG
rnacentral:rRNA from 1 species